AAGGGAACCAACUACUUGGUGUGGUCUCGGAUGGUGAGAACCACAGUGGGAAGCAAGGGGUUGUGGAAGCACAUCACCCCCGGAGAAGCUCCAAAACUCAUCACUCAAGGAGAGGAUGAUGGUGAGGCUGCAAGCAAGGCAGAAGAGAAGUGGCAUCAAGAGGAUAUGCUGGUGAUGUCUGUGCUUCAUGCGUCACUUGAGCCGGCUAUUCUGGAUGCAUACAGCUACUGUGAGUCUGCUAAGGAGCUGUGGGAUACUUUGAAGAAGGUGUAUGGCAACACAUCAAACCUAAGCCGAGUGUUUGAAGUGAAGCAAGCCAUCAACAACCUUGUACAAGAAGACAUGGAGUUCACCAAGCAUCUAGGGAGAUUCAGGAGUCUCUGGUCCGAGAUGGAGAUGCUUAGGCCAAGCACAACGGAUGCUGAUGAGCUUAACAAGAGGAGAGAGCAAGACAAGGUCUUUGGGCUACUCCUCACGCUGAACCCGGCCUACAACGGUCUCAUCCAGCACCUGCUUAGAGAAGACACUCUACCUGAUCUUGAGGAUGUGUGUGCGCGGAUUCAGAAGGAGCAAGGCUCCAUUGGGUUGUUUGCAAAGAAAGGAGACCUGUCCCUUGCAAGCCAAGCAACUCAAGAGGAAGGUAGUGAAGCUCCACAAGCAAACAAGGCUGCGGCUGCGCAUGGGAAGUUUGAGGAGAGGAGGUUCAAUGGGAGUUGUGAUCACUGCAAGAAGCAUGGCCACAAGAAGAGCCAAUGCUGGAUACUCCAUCCUCACCACAAGCCGGCUAAGUUCAUGAAGGACCGUGAGGCAAGGGCUAAUGUCUCGGAUGGAACAAGUGGAGCUGGUACAAGCAAAGGAAAGGAGAUAGAUGGGCGUGAGGCAGGUGAUGGAAAGUCUCUUGUAGCCUACACUGGAGCAUCAAGCAACCGUGGGAACAAUGAUCAAGAGUAUCUAAGGAGAUCCGACCUUGAUGCUCUCAUUAAGAUGUUCAAGGAGAAUGGUAACAUCUUUGGGUAUUCUUUUGGUGCUAGGCUGAUAGAGAACUAUGAGAAUCUAACUAGAACUGAUAGGAUGCAUGAGAGCUUGAUAGAAAUGGUAAAUCAAUCUAGGACUGCAAACCUUGCUAGAAAUGAUCAUGCAUUCAAACCAUCUAGUAUCCUUGCGCAUAUUGCUAGUUCCCAUGACAUUAAGCCAUUAGUGAUUGAUUCAGGUGCAUCUCAUCAUAUGAUAAGUGACACUUGCUUAAUUAAAAACAUUGUACCAAUGAAUGGAAAUGUACUGAUUGCUAAUGGAGAUAAGAUUCCUAUUAGAGGAAUAGGAAGUCUUAAACUAUUUGAUAAGGAAACUAAAGCUUUUUAUAUGCCUGAAUUCACAUCAAACUUGUUAUCUGUUAAGAAAUGUGCUACUGAUUUGCAAUGCAAUGUUAUAUUCAGUCCUAAUGAUGUGAAGUUUCAGGAUAUUAAAAGCAGCAAGAUGAUUGGAAAGGGAGUGACUAAAGGAGAGCUAUAUUUACUUGAAGAUCUCACUCCUGUUUCUAGAUAUAGCUGCUCAUUUACUUCUGUUUCUAGUUCUGGUUUAAGUAAAAAUGCAUUGUGGCAUGCUAGAUUAGGACACCCUCAUAAUAAGGCUUUAAAACUGAUGUUGCCAGGUGUUUCCUUUGAGAAUAAUGAUUGUGAAGCUUGCAUUUUAGGCAAGCAUUGUAGAACUGUCUUUAACAAGUCUACUACUGUUUAUGAAAAGUGUUUUGAUCUUAUUCAUUCUGAUGUUUGGACUGCACCUUGCCUAUCUAGAGAAAAUCAUAAGUAUUAUGUAACUUUCAUUGAUGAAAAAUCCAAAUACACCUGGUUAACCUUAAUUCCAACCAAAGAUAGGGUACUUGAUGCAUUUAAAAAUUUUCAAUCCUAUGUGACUAACCAUUACAAUGCCAAGAUAAAGAUUUUCAGGUCAGAUAAUGGAGGAGAGUACACGGGACAAGCAUUCAAGCUACACUUAGCUCAGCAUGGAAUUCUUCAUCAGACAAGCUGUCCCUAUACACCACAACAGAAUGGUGUGGCUGAGAGGAAGAACAGGCAUUUGAUGGAAGUAGCCAGGUCCAUGAUGUUUCAAUCCAAUGGGCCUAAGAAGUUUUGGAGUGAUGCUGUUGCUACGGCAUGUUAUCUCAUCAACAGGACACCAACUCUGAUCCUACAAGGACAAUCACCAUUUGAGGUACUGAAUCAGUACAAGCCUUCUCUCGAGCAUAUGAAGGUCUUUGGGUGUUUGUGUUUUGUGAUGGUGCCUGGAGAGAUAAGAAACAAGCUAGAAGCUAAGAGUUCAAAGGCAAUGUUCAUUGGAUACUCAUCAAGUCAGAAAGGAUACAAGUGCUAUGAUCCUAACACAAGGAGAGUGUUAGUAUCUAGAGAAGUGAAGUUUGUUGAAGAGAAAGGAUAUUAUGAGGAACAGAUUCAAGAAGACUUGAAGGAUCUUACCUCUGAUAGAGCUGAAACCUUGAGGAUUAUCCUAGAAGGCCUUGGAAUCAACAUGAACCAAGGACAUCAAGGGGGGAGAAGCACUACCCCAGUCCCGGAUCAUCAGACUUCCAACCUUGACCAUGAAGGGGGGAAUGAAACAAGAACUCCAAACCGUGAAGAAACAAGUAGAGAAGAGAGUUCUGGCUCUCAUGAUCAAGCUGUGGAAUCAAAUGAUCAAGAAGAAGGAGCUGAAGAGAGUCAGCUAAGGGAAGAAGGAGCUGAAGCAAGUCAGCUAGGAGAAGAAAGAUCUGAAACAAGUGUGCAGCCACAAGAAGAAGAACAAGAGAUGGCGCAAGAAGGGCCAGUAUUGAGAAGAAGUACAAGGCUGAGAAAGGAUCCUUCCAGUUGGGUAAACACAAGAGUGUACUACAAUGCCCAAGCUGUGAAGCAUCCUACUCAGGCCGUGUGUUCUUUUGCUCAAUAUCCAGAAGCACAUUGCGCAUUCAUGGUAAACUUGGAUGAAAAUCACAUUCCAAGGAGCUAUGAAGAGGCAAUGGAGGAUAAGGAAUGGAAGGAAUCAGUAGGAGCUGAGGCAGGAGCUAUGAUAAAGAAUGAUACAUGGUAUGAGAGUGAACUACCAAAAGGGAAGAAAGCUGUGUCUAGUAGAUGGAUCUUUACAAUCAAGUACAAGGCUGAUGGGUCUAUUGAGAGGAAGAAGACUAGACUAGUAGCAAGAGGGUUCACUCAGACAUAUGGAGAGGAUUACAUUGAAACAUUUGCACCAAUGGCCAAGCUACACACCAUUAGGAUUGUUUUAAGCUUGGCUGUGAACCUUGGAUGGGGAUUAUGGCAAAUGGAUGUAAAGAAUGCAUUUCUACAAGGAGAACUUGAGGAUGAAGUCUAUAUGUAUCCUCCAUCAGGAUUGGAACAUCUAGUGAAGAGGGGGAAUGUACUGAGGCUAAAGAAAGCUAUUUAUGGGUUGAAGCAAUCACCAAGAGCUUGGUAUAACAAGUUGAGCACAACUUUGAACGGCCGAGGCUUCAAGAAGUCAGAGUUGGAUCACACUCUCUUUACACUCACGACACCCUCAGGUAUGGUUGCUCUCCUUGUGUAUGUGGAUGAUAUCAUUAUCACAGGAAGUGAUAAGGAAGGUAUCAAAGCAACCAAGGAGUUUCUAAAGACUAUGUUUGAAAUCAAAGACUUGGGAGAAAUGAAAUACUUCCUUGGAAUUGAGAUUUGUAGAUCCAAGGAAGGUUUGUUCAUGUCCCAAAGAAAGUAUACACUUGAUCUUUUGAAAGAUGCAGGUGCUUAUGGAGGCAAGACAGCAAGGAUGCCAAUGGAGGAUGGCUACAAAGUACCAAGAGAGGGGGAGAUUGAAGACAGCAAGCCAUUUCAUGAUCCUAAACUCUAUAGAAAACUUGUUGGCAAAUUAAUUUAUCUUACCAUCACAAGACCUGAUAUAUGCUUUGCUGUGAAUCAGGUGAGUCAACACAUGCAGCUUCCCAAGGAACAUCAUUGGCGUAUGGUGGAGAGGCUGCUGAUGUAUCUAAAUGGCUCGCCAGAUCAAGGGGUUUGGAUGGGAUGCAAUGGAAGCUCAGAAGUGGUGGGCUAUUGUGAUGCUGAUUGGGCAGGAGAUAGAGCUGAUAGGAGAUCAACUACUGGCUAUUGUACUUUCAUUGGAGGCAACUUGGUGACUUGGAAGAGCAAGAAGCAGAAGGUGGUGUCAUGUUCAAGUGCUGAAGCUGAGUAUAGAGCCAUGCUGAAGCUGACAAACGAGUUGGUGUGGAUCAAAGGCAUCUUGAAGCACUUGGAGAUUGAUCAAGCCACUCCAAUGACAAUGCAUUGUGACAACCAAGCUGCCAUUCACAUUGCAUCCAACUCAGUGUUCCAUGAGAGGACCAAGCACAUUGAGGUUGAUUGCCACAAGGUGAGACAGAUGAUUGUGCUUGGAGUGAUCUUACCUUGCUAUACAAGAAGUGAAGAUCAGUUGGCUGAUGUGUUUACCAAGGCGGCGAGACAAAAGACUAUGGAGUCCAUUCACAUUAGAUUGGGACUCAUAGAUCUUGGGAAGAGAAGGAGCUGAUCCCCUUAGCUGUGAGAUCUUUACUCUUUUUCCCUCAUUAAGGUUUUAUCCCAAUGGGUUUUCCUUAGUGAGGUUUUUAAUGAGGAAGAUCUCAUGGCUGUCCAAGCUUAGGCUUUCACAAAGCUAAGCUUGAGGGGGAGUGUUGAGAAGAAUGCACUAUAAUAUGAAGAAGAAGUUCAAGAGGGUGUAGAAGUGUUGAGGAGUUAAUAAGCAAGCAAGAGAAGGAUCAUGUACGGACAGACAGUACGGAUAGGGAGAGCAGUACGGACGCAGGCCGUACCAACGACCAUCCGCAAGAAGUAACUCGGCCAAGGUGAAAUGUAAACAGGCUGGAGUUACUUUACCUUUCUUACCAUGAGCUGAUCAUUAGAAGGAUAAGGGAGGCGCGUCUGACAGGCUGUCAUAAGCUGGAAAGGUAAAGGCAUAGUCAAAGAUGCUUUACACAUGUGGAGACUCUCAUUGGAAGGAUUCAAAUGAUCUCUUAGCUGGUUAUUGACCUCACAUGCUUUCUACUUUGUGUAAUCGAAACCCUAGUGUCUUAAGCUUCCUAUAUAAGUGUAAACUCUCUCAUUAAUAAGAUUAAGCAAGUUAUGAGUCUCUCUUAGUCUCUCUUUAGUUCUUUAGACUCUUAAUCUCAUUUCAUACUUUAAUCUUCUCUAAAUCUCCUCUAAUCUUUCCUAAAUACUCAGAUCACUCUAAACAUCACUAAAAGUGAUAUGGUAUCAGAGCCAGGUUAGUGAGAGCCUGAGGUCGUGUGUGAUUCUUUGAAGCCUCAAGGUUGAAGCUUUGAAGAAACUCUUGUGUUCUUGUGUGUUUGAGAGUUUCUGGGUACUUUUCAAGUUCAAGACUGGUUGUGGUGUAUCAUCUGAAGCUGUGUGGGUUGAAGAUCGAGGCUGUGAAGGGUUCUACAAGUCAUUCAACUCAAGAUAAAGUUUCUGAAGCUUAGAGAGUUCAUCAUUCAACAUGGAGAGUGGGAUGAACAUGAACAUGAAGGUAGCUGUGAUCUUCAAGGGAACCAACUACUUGGUGUGGUCUCGGAUGGUGAGAACCACGGUGGGAAGCAAGGGGUUGUGGAAGCACAUCACCCCCGGAGAAGCUCCAAAACUCAUCACUCAAGGAGAGGAUGAUGGUGAGGCUGCAAGCAAGGCGGAAGAGAAGUGGCAUCAAGAGGAUAUGCUGGUGAUGUCUGUGCUUCAUGCGUCACUUGAGCCGGCUAUUCUGGAUGCAUACAGCUACUGUGAGUCUGCUAAGGAGCUGUGGGAUACGUUGAAGAAGGUGUAUGGCAACACAUCAAACCUAAGCCGAGUGUUUGAAGUGAAGCAAGCCAUCAACAACCUUGUACAAGAAGACAUGGAGUUCACCAAGCAUCUAGGGAGAUUCAGGAGCCUCUGGUCCGAGAUGGAGAUGCUUAGGCCAAGCACAACGGAUGCUGAUGAGCUGAACAAGAGGAGAGAGCAAGACAAGGUCUUUGGGCUACUCCUCACGCUGAACCCGGCCUACAACGGUCUCAUCCAGCACCUGCUUAGAGAAGACACUCUACCUGAUCUUGAGGAUGUGUGUGCGCGGAUUCAGAAGGAGCAAGGCUCCAUUGGGUUGUUUGCAAAGAAAGGAGACCUGUCCCUUGCAAGCCAGGCUCCAUUGGGUUGUUUGCAAAGAAAGGAGACCUGUCCCUUGCAAGCCAAGCAACUCAAGAGGAAGGUAGUGAAGCUCCACAAGCAAACAAGGCUGCGGCUGCGCAUGGGAAGUUUGAGGAGAGGAGGUUCAAUGGGAGUUGUGAUCACUGCAAGAAGCAUGGCCACAAGAAGAGCCAAUGCUGGAUACUCCAUCCUCACCUCAAGCCGGCUAAGUUCAUGAAGGACCGUGAGGCAAGGGCUAAUGUCUCGGAUGGAACAAGUGGAGCUGGUACAAGCAAAGGAAAGGAGAUAGAUGGGCGUGAGGCAGGUGAUGGAAAGUCUCUUGUAGCCUACACUGGAGCAUCAAGCAACCGUGGGAACAAUGAUCAAGAGUAUCUAAGGAGAUCCGACCU
rnacentral:lncRNA from 1 species